CAACCAUCAAGCCCCCGGCUUGUGUUGGGGACCUGCGGCUGCCGCAGGCCCUGAAAACCAGUGGCGGGCUCGCUAGUCACUCCGAGCGUAGUAGUAUUAUCUCGCUCAGGGCGUGCUGCGGGUUCCGGCCGUUAAAAAGCCUUUUUUACCCAA
rnacentral:misc_RNA from 1 species